AUCCUACUCCCUCCGUCCAAAAAUACUUGUCAUCAAAAUGGACAAAAAGGAAUGUAUCUAGAACUAAAAUACAUCUAGAUACAUCCCCUUGUAUUCAUUUUGAUGACAAGUAUUUCCGGACGGAGGGAGUAUUAA
rnacentral:pre_miRNA from 1 species